rnacentral:sRNA from 1 species
GGGGCUCUUGUUGACACGCAGGGUCUGAGCCACACCCUUCUCAUCCAGUUUGUUUCUGUCACCACAUAGCGAGAGCGGCACUGCUCACAGGACGGCUGCCCAUCCGCAAUGGCUUCUACACCACCAACGCCCACGCCAGAAACGCCUACACACCGCAGGAGAUCGUGGGCGGCAUCCCAGACUCGGAGCAGCUCCUGCCGGAGCUUCUGAAGAAGGCCGGCUACGUCAGCAAGAUCGUUGGCAAGUGGUGAGUCUCCCAGCCACGCCUGCCCAGGUGUCCUGCUCCACCCACUUCCUGGCCUUGGUUCCAAGGGACAUGGCCACAAGUUUCCAAAGAAGGAGGGCGUCUUGGGUGGGAAACGGAAGCUGAUUCUGGGUGUGUUCAGGUGUCCCCAGCGUCCCUGUGCAGGCCAGCAUGACCUUGCCAGCAGGAUCUCAGGUCACCAGGCUGGGCCCACGGCCGCGAGCAUCCUGCGGCAUCAGACUCCACAGGCCUGUCACCGUUGUCCCUCGAGUCACAGCCCCCAGCACCUGCCACCAC